UGCUGAUGACGAACUUGGAGCUGGAGGGUGUGAGCUGUCAGUGUGGUGGACGGCCAUGGUAAGGACAAAGGACCGUUCAUGGCCGAGAGUAUCUGCAAUGACCUAGAGGGAGCUGAGUGGGUGAGAAACAACCUCCACCAGCUGAAAGGGAAAGUAGAUGAGCCUCCCUAUGUCGUGUUGGGUUUAAGACAUCAAACAGGAAGUCGAAGAAAAUCAGCUUGACGCACAUGAUGAAGAACGACAGGAAUUGAUGGAGAAUUUGUAGUUUGAGCGUGAACAUCAAGAUGACUGAUCUGUUCCCGUGUGCUCAAGCUUUAGUAAACAUGUACCUGGAAAUCAUUGGGGGUCCAAGCACCGGUGCUGGAACUCUGUUGUAUUUGUAAGGAUUCUUCUUCUUCUUUUUCUCAGCUAAAAGUUUGCACAGCUCAGAAACCGUACGUCCCAGAGCAACCACAUUUGGUAGGUGGGUUCCCAUGGCCCCCCACUACUCAGCCAAGACCAAUCACGCGUGUCAACCACAUGGUGGGGCUAUAACAAGAGGUCACACUAAAGGCCAUAACUUGGGAUAAAAGUGCUGUGUAAAGGCAUUUUGACCACACGGACCGACUUUGCUUCGCUAUUGAAGUUAACUGUGUAACUGUUGGUGGUUCAGGUUUCCCCCCCAUCCCAGGCCAACUGGGGGUGGCAUAGUCACUGAUAAUUUAGACCUACUCCCUACUGGUCACACAUUAUCCACUCAUCUAAGACCCCAGUAUUCGUAGGGAUUGUCACACCUAAUUCUCUUUAUAUUUCAGUAUGUAUACUUUAGUUCCAUUAAUCUUUGCUCAAAGCGCAAACAAAACACGUAAAAUAAAGCUAACCAAGGUCACUGCACACAGAUGUUUCGCUGAUACUUGGUAAACCCGAGAACAGAACGUUACAACAGUCGAGUCUAAACGAUAAAAAUGCGUGCACUAGGGUUUCAGCGUCAGACACUGUUAAUAUGCCGGAUUUUGGAAAUUUUUUACAAAGAUGAAUGUAAUGGGAGAAUAACACAGUUUGGAACCAUUAGCCUACCUACUGGGUUGUGAAUGUUUUGUGUUUCAAGGUGUGCUUGGACUCCUCCAGUCACCGCCUGCAGCUACAUCAGAAUUUGUAAUUUUUUAAUCUGAUAGAUUUUACAUAACUGGAGUGAAAAUGAUCAAUGUAAUGGAAGUUCAGAGCUCAAACUUAUCCCCUGUGGUUUGGAAUGAUUGAAAAGUCACUCAUACAUAUUAAUAGAAUAAUGACAUGAAUAUAUGGGUAUUUGUGUUUGCGCAUCAAUGAUUAUUUUAAUAACACUGAUGUAUUUUAAUAUUUGUAAUAUAUUACAGUUUAUAUAUAGUCUUCAUAUAUUUUAU